rnacentral:rRNA from 1 species
AACGAACGCUGGCGGCAGGCCUAACACAUGCAAGUCGAGCGAGCAUUUCGGUGCUAGCGGCGGACGGGUGAGUAACGCAUGGGAACGUGCCCUUUUCUGCGGAAUAGUCCUGGGAAACUGGGGGUAAUACCGCAUACGCCCUUUUGGGGAAAGAUUUAUCGGAGAAGGAUCGGCCCGCGUUGGAUUAGGUAGUUGGUGGGGUAAUGGCCCACCAAGCCGACGAUCCAUAGCUGGUUUGAGAGGAUGAUCAGCCACACUGGGACUGAGACACGGCCCAGACUCCUACGGGAGGCAGCAGUGGGGAAUCUUAGACAAUGGGGGCAACCCUGAUCUAGCCAUGCCGCGUGAGUGAUGAAGGCCUUAGGGUUGUAAAGCUCUUUCAGCUGGGAAGAUAAUGACGGUACCAGCAGAAGAAGCCCCGGCUAACUCCGUG